GAUAAAUGGCAAACUUCAGUACACUUUUACAAACUUGGAUGGUUUAAUUCACAGACUCUGGCAAAAUGAGCUAACACCAGGAUUUGAACUCAUGGGAAAUCCUUCAGGUUAUUUUACCAAUUUUGAAGAAAAAAUACAGGUGUUUGAAUGGAAAAAAAUGAUCGCUAUUAUGGCACAAAGGUAUAUAGAUAUGUACGGUAUGGCAUAUGUGUCAAAGUGGAAUUUUGAAACAUGGAAUGAACCAGAUCAUCACGACUUUGAUAAUUUAACAUUCACAGUACCAGGAUUCCAAAACUACUAUGAUGCGUGUUCUGAAGGUCUGAAAGAGGCAAGCACACUACUUAAAUUUGGUGGUCCUGGAGGUUCAUGCCAUCCUCCCCCCCACUCACCAAUUUGUUGGGGCUUGCUAAAUCACUGCUCGAAUGGAACCAACUUCUUUACAGGAGAGAUUGGAAUACGAUUGGAUUAUAUUGCAAUACACAAAAAAGGUGCUGGUAGUUCUCUACACAUCAUAGAGCAAGAAUUGGAUACAGUUAAUCAGAUCCAGAAACGCUUUCCUGAAUUCCAGUCAAUUCCCGUUUACAAUGAUGAGGCUGAUCCACUGGUCGGUUGGGCAAUUCCUCAGGUUUGGAGAGCUGAAGUGACUUAUGCUGCAAUGGUUGCUAAGGUAAUAUCACAGCAUCAGAAUUUACUAAUUGCAAAUCCAGAGAGCACCAUCAAUUUUACAUUGCUUAGCAAUGAUAAUGCCUUCCUGAACUACCACCCAAACUACUUUACACAGCGGACCCUUACUGCCAGAUUUCAGAUGAACAAUACAAAACCACCACAUGUACAGAUGAUUCGCAAACCAGUGCUCACUGUUAUGGGACUGUUGGCGUUAUUAGGUGAGAAACAACUGGAAGCAGAUGUGAUGCUCAGUGGCAAAACCUUAGAUUGGAAUAGUACUUUGGGAGCACUGGCAAGUAUUCAUGAACCUUCAGAUCAUCAUUCCUCUGACAGUUGGCAAUCCGCAAUAUUAAUUUACAAUAGCGAUGACAUUCGGACAUCGUUAUAUGUUACCACGGUGACUGUCAACCUGACUCAUUUUCCUACCCAAAGAGGACUCAUGUAUGUCAUUUACCACCUGAACAACAAUGACACCAACCCUUACCUGCAGUGGAAGAUUUUUGGAAGACCAGAUUUUCCAACAGUGGAUAAUUUUCGUAUUAUGAGGGAAAUGGAGGACCCAGUAGUUAAAGGACCAAUGCCAUUUCCUGCAGAAGGAACACUCAUUUUAAAACUGCAGCUUCCUGUUCCUUCUGUGUAUCUUCUGCACAUCUGCGCAAAGCCCAAAGGGCCUCCAAAUCAGGUUAAUGGAGUGAGUUUCAUACCUCUGACUCUGGGUCAAGUGGCCAUCAGCUGGACUGAUGGUUGUGUAAAUUCAAAAUGUUUAAAAACAUUUGAAGUAGAGUUUUCAAUUGAUGGGAAAGUUUACAAAAGGAUUAAUGAUAAGGACACUAUAUUUACCAUUUUUGUAUAUGCUCCAUUCAGCAAGAGAAAAGAUCUUUCACAGGUGUCUGGCUUCUACAAGAUUCGUGCAGUAAACUAUUGGGGCAAAGCUGGAAAAUAUUCUAACCCUGUUAAAUACGUUGAAGGGAAAUAUUACUAAAUGUUUAUGAGGAACAAUUGUAAUAUCAAUAUGUACAUACAUGAGUCUGCUCUAAGCAGGAUGGCUUGUGACCAGGAAGGAAGCUCACAGGUUUUGACAUUCCCCUUUUUCCUGUUGCACCUCAUCCUUUUGGGUGGUGGAGGUCAUGGCUUUCAGGCUGGGUGUAUGGGAAGGAACUGCAGAUGUUGGCUUACACUUACAGAUAGACACAAAAUGCUGGAGUGACUCAGCGGGACAGGCAGCAUCUCUGGAGAGAAGGAAUGGGUGAUGUUUUGGGUUAAGACCCUUCAGGCUGGGAGCAGGCGGAGAGGGAGGGCAAAGGGCCAUUUCAGAAGCCUUUAAGAAAGAACUGCAGAUGCUGGAAAAAUCGAAGGUAGACAAAAAUGCUGGAGAUACUCAGCGGGCAAGGCAGCAUCUGUGGAACGAAUGAAUAGGUGACGUUUCAGGUCGAGACCCUUCUUCAGACUGAUCAGAAGCCUUGAUGAGUUGCUGCAAAUUCCUUUGAAGAUAAGAUGCACAGCAGCCGUGCUGUGGCAGCUGUGGAAGAGCUGGGCCAGUGGUGGAGGAGUUAAGGGC